rnacentral:misc_RNA from 1 species
GCAAAAGGUGGACUCUUCUUUCUCUUGGGUAUUGAACUGAUGUCCACAUCCCUUCCUGCUGAGUUGCAAACACCAGUCCGAAAUGUGCCUAUAGUAUGGAAAUUGCACGCGUUGUCCGCGACUUUACUUUCUGGAAUGAGCAUUUUUGAGGAGGACAAUAGCAGGGAUCUUUACAAAGCUUUGCAAGAUAUCUAUGGACAGCUUCUUGACAGGGAAGAAAAAGUUAAUGCAAAGAGCCUGAAAUUUAAGACGGACAUACAUGAGAACUACUCCACAUUCAUUGACAAUCUAGUAGAGCAAUUUGCUGCUGUUUCUUAUGGUGACAUGAUAUUUGGUCGUCAAGUAGGAGUCUAUCUGCAUCAAUUUGUUGAAGCUCCUGUAAGGCUUGCUGCAUGGAAUGCACUGUCUAACGCUUGUGCUCUCGAGCUUUUGCCUCCUUUGGAGAAGUGCAUUGCUGCAACUAAUG